UGUCAGCAUCAUCGCUUCGUCCAGAGCCCAGAAGCUCGCUCCUGCAACUGCAAGAAGCAUCAGAACCUAUCCUUUGCUCCAUCCCUCUGUCUCAUCUUCUUCUUCAGUUUUCCUCUCCUUGUCUGUAAUAGUUGCAAACUUGCAAUCAUUCGUAUCCAAAUCCAAAAGCUUUUUGUCAUUUAAUUCUUGACCGAAUUUGUGGGUGCCGCACCUGCCUCCUCUCCUCUCCUCGCAGCGUGCAGACACAUGCUGCUCCUGGCAGUAUUUCUUGCCCCCUUUUGCUCCGUUGGGUUGGGUGCCGCUGUCUCCACCUCAAGUCUUCUUCCUCCCCGCUCUCGCCCGUUCCGUCGCAACCGUCGUGUUUCGCCAGUUGGGGCUCGACCGUCGCGGGGUUCGGGUUAACCUUGGCGCCCACGGCGUCAAAAUUUGAUCUUGGCGAGGUCUUCGGGAGGAAAGAUUGGUUUGUGGUGGCACUAGGAAUCUGCGACCCAUUUCUACGUGGUGAUUUUGGUCUGUGUGUGGGUUUGCUGUGAUUAUCGGCGCCUCGUUGUUGGACCAAAGAUUUCCAUCUUUGUUUCUUGCAAAUUCCAAAGCGGCGGAAACGAUUCUUCUGGGAAAGGAGAGCUGCUUAGUGGGGAGAUUUGGGUGGGAGCAGAGUGAAUUUGAGCGGGGAAUCCAAGAGUUCUUCUUGAUAUUGUUGGAGUCUGAAUGCUUUUUAGUAGGCUGAAUUUCCAUUUUGGUUGAUGCGAAGACUGGAAGUGGACGGGUCGGUGUGAGGAUUUGAGGAGCUGUUGCUGAGGAAAAAAAGAGAUCAAUGGCGUCGCUGUCAGAGAGUGAGGUGACAAAAGGGGGGAGCAUGUGGGAGCUAGAUCAGAACCUUGAUCAGCCCAUGGAUGAGGAGGCAGGCAGGCUGAGGAAUAUGUACAGAGAAAAGAAAUUCUCGUCAGUUUUGUUAUUACGGCUCGCAUUUCAGAGCCUUGGAGUGGUCUUUGGUGACUUGGGCACAUCACCUUUGUAUGUGUUCUAUAAUGUCUUUCCUCGAGGAGUAGAUGAAGAUGAGGAUGUUAUUGGAGCUCUUUCCUUGAUUAUUUACACCCUCACUCUCAUCCCGCUUCUGAAGUAUGUUUUUGUUGUCUUGCGAGCAAAUGACAAUGGUCAAGGUGGCACAUUUGCUCUGUAUUCCCUCUUAUGCCGGCAUGCAAAGAUCAACACCAUACCAAAUCAACACAGGACCGAUGAAGAACUAACAACGUAUAGUCGACAAACUUAUGAGGAGAAUUCACUUGCAGAAAAAAUAAAGAGAUGGAUAGAGGCACAUGCAUAUAAAAGAAACAUCCUCCUUAUCAUUGUUCUCAUUGGUACUUGUACAGCCAUUGGAGAUGGAAUCCUCACUCCUGCCAUAUCCGUUCUUUCUGCGUCAGGUGGAAUAAAAAUUCAAAAGAAAAACAUGAGUACUGAUGAUGUUGUACUUGUCGCUGUGGUCAUCUUGAUUGGAUUAUUUAGCAUGCAGCACUAUGGCACCGAUAAAGUGGGAUGGCUCUUUGCACCAAUAGUUCUCCUCUGGUUCAUUCUAAUUGGAAGUGUCGGAGCUGUGAAUAUACACAAAUAUGAUAGCUCCGUGUUAAAAGCAUACAACCCAGUCUAUAUAUACCGUUUUUUCCGACGACGAGGGAAUUCCGACAGCUGGACCUCUCUUGGAGGAAUCAUGCUUAGCAUCACAGGAACUGAAGCAUUAUUUGCUGAUCUCUGUCAUUUUCCUGUAUUGGCGAUUCAGAUUGCUUUCACCUUGAUUGUAUUCCCUUGCCUUUUACUGGCAUACACAGGGCAGGCUGCCUAUAUAAUUGUUCACAAGAAUCAUGUGGCUGACGCCUUUUAUCGCUCCAUUCCAGACGCCAUAUACUGGCCGGCCUUUGUUAUUGCAACUGCUGCAGCCAUAGUUGCAAGUCAAGCGACUAUAUCUGCCACCUACUCGAUAAUAAAGCAAGCUCUUGCACUCGGUUGUUUUCCACGUGUAAAAGUAGUCCACACCUCAAAGAAAUUCCUUGGGCAGAUUUACAUCCCCGACAUCAAUUGGGUCCUUCUGAUUCUUUGCAUUGCUGUCACUGCUGGAUUCAAGAAUCAAAGCCAGAUAGGAAAUGCAUAUGGCACUGCUGUGGUUAUAGUUAUGCUUGUCACAACAUUCCUCAUGGUACCAAUAAUGCUGCUUGUAUGGAAGAGCCACUGGAUCCUUGUCGUCACCUUUACCGUGCUCUCGCUGAUGGUGGAGGUUCCAUACUUCUCUGCCUGCAUAUUAAAGAUCGACCAAGGUGGUUGGGUCCCGCUAGUCAUUGCAACAGUCUUCUUCAUCAUCAUGUACGUGUGGCAUUUUUGCACCGUGAAGCGGUAUGAAUUUGAGAUGCACAGCAAGGUUUCCAUGGCCUGGAUUCUCGGCCUUGGUCCGAGCCUUGGUCUGGUCAGGGUUCCAGGGAUAGGAUUUGUGUAUACCGAACUGGCAAGCGGCGUCCCACAUAUCUUCUCCCACUUCAUCACCAACCUCCCUGCGAUCCACUCGGUGGUCGUCUUCGUCUGCGUUAAGUAUCUUCCAGUUUACACUGUCCCAACCGAUGAACGGUUUCUGGUGAGGAGAAUUGGGCCAAAGAACUUCCACAUGUUCCGUUGUGUUGCAAGGUACGGGUACAAAGACCUCCACAAGAGAGACGAAGACUUUGAAAAGAUGCUCUUCGACUGCAUCCUAUUCUUCGUCCGACUAGAGAGCAUGAUGGAUGGCUAUUCCGACUACGAUGAGUUCAGCGUGCCAGAGCAGAGGACCAUUGAAUCAAUGAACAACGCAUUCUUGACUGAAAAAACCUGCAACACAAUGUGUUCCAAUGGCGACCUGAGCUACUCAUCGCAGGACUCAAUCGUGCCUGCGCAGUCACCUCUCAGGGGGAGCAGUCUGCUGAGGUAUUCAGGCCAGGCCAGCACGGUCGGCGACGAGCUGGAGUUCUUGAACCGGUGCAAGGACGCCGGCGUCGUGCACAUCCUCGGGAACACCAUCGUGCGGGCACGGAGAGACUCAGGGAUCGUCAAGAGGCUUGCUGUGGACUACAUGUAUGCCUUCAUGAGGAGGAUCUGCAGGGAGAACAGUGUAAUAUUCAAUGUUCCUCACGAGAGCCUUCUCAAUGUCGGCCAAAUAUACUACAUAUGAGAGAGAAAUUUCCUCUUCCGUUCUCCCUGUUUUUUAUUCCAUGUGGGCAGCAGCUCUGCUGUACCGCUCCAUGGACGUGGGAGUGGCGCGGUCGUCGUUGUACCUAUCAGGCAGUGUUCAUGAUGCAGAUGGUCAUGCUUCCUGCUGUAACCUCAUCACCGACACACGGCUAACUUGUGGUUUCGUCGGAGGAUCUCUUUCCAGUACAAGCCAGGUAGGGCAGCCACGAUGACUCCACCCCACA